rnacentral:rRNA from 1 species
ACUCCUACGGGAGGCAGCAGUGGGGAAUUUUGCGCAAUGGGCGAAAGCCUGACGCAGCAACGCCGCGUGAGUGAUGAAGGCUUUCGGGUCGUAAAGCUCUGUCAAUGGGAAAGAAGUGUAAUUGGGUUAAUACCCCUUUUACUUGACGGUACCCAUAAAGGAAGCACCGGCUAACUCCGUGCCAGCAGCCGCGGUAAUACGGGGGGUGCAAGCGUUGUUCGGAAUUAUUGGGCGUAAAGCGCGUGUAGGCGGUUUGAUUAGUCUGAUGUGAAAGCCCCGGGCUCAACCCGGGAAGUGCAUUGGAAACUGUCAGACUUGAAUACGGGAGAGGGUAGUGGAAUUCCUAGUGUAGGAGUGAAAUCCGUAGAUAUUAGGAGGAACACCGGUGGCGAAGGCGGCUACCUGGACCGAUAUUGACGCUGAGACGCGAAAGCGUGGGUAGCAAACAGGAUUAGAUACCCUGGUAGUCCACGCCGUAAACGAUGAGAACUAGGUGUCGCGGGUA